ACAAUCGUCCUGAUGCUGGGAGGGGCAGGACGGGUGUGGAAGGCCACCCAGGAGUCGGGACCCACUGGGCCGGCGGACUCCGAAGGGAUGAUCCAUUUGCAGGCUCCCAGUCUACAGGCCGGACUCCCACUGAAGAUGGCACUAUUGUUCUAUCCAUAGGGUUUGAAGGCACCUAAGCGAAGUGUUCAAGGAGACUUUACAGAUACCCAGGACAGAACUGAGACCCACAGAAGAAAGAGUGCCUUCUCGUGAGGAUGGAGUACCUGGGGGUUGAGAAGAGAAGCCAGCUAUGUGGAGACCUUCACGACAUCCUGGUGCUGCUACUGUACCGAGCCAUUGCAUGUGGCAGUGCCCUCCAUCGGUUGGCAUUCUGGGUGGCAGGAGAAGCAUUCAUCUUCAU